GAUGAACGCUGGCGGCGUGCCUAAUACGUGCAAGUCGAGCGAACAGAUGAGGAGCUUGCUCCUCUGACGUUAGCGGCGGACGGGUGAGUAACACGUGGAUAACCUACCUAUAAGACUGGGAUAACUUCGGGAAACCGGAGCUAAUACCGGAUAAUAUAUUGAACCGCAUGGUUCAAUAGUGAAAGACGGUUUUGCUGUCACUUAUAGAUGGAUCCGCGCCGCAUUAGCUAGUUGGUAAGGUAACGGCUUACCAAGGCAACGAUGCGUAGCCGACCUGAGAGGGUGAUCGGCCACACUGGAACUGAGACACGGUCCAGACUCCCACGGGAGGCAGCAGUAGGGAAUCUUCCGCAAUGGGCGAAAGCCUGACGGAGCAACGCCGCGUGAGUGAUGAAGGUCUUCGGAUCGUAAAACUCUGUUAUUAGGGAAGAACAAAUGUGUAAGUAACUAUGCACGUCUUGACGGUACCUAAUCAGAAAGCCACGGCUAACUACGUG
rnacentral:rRNA from 1 species